rnacentral:tRNA from 1 species
AAAGAGAUUAAGUAAAAAAAUAGCUGCUAACUAAUUUUUAAAGCGGUUAAAUUCCGUUUAUCUCUUUA